GAAGUAAACCAUCAAUAUCGUAUUAUAUGCGUCGCGCUGCAUGACUCAUCAUUUAUAUCGCGCUUUAAUCGUAAUAGGCGAUACAAAAAUUAAAGAAUGAAAAUAGUCACGUCGUCACGUAUUGGAUAAAGUUCUAAUCAUAGAGCAAAGAGCAAAGUUUAAAAGCGUUGCUAAGACACAUCCCUUCCACUGAUGCGUUAUAUUUUACUUAUUCUAUAAUGAGUUGUAAAUGUUCCGUCGCCAGUUGCUCAACGCCCAAUAGCACUGUUUCUCUAGUUGUCAUCUGUUGCUAUGAUUCAUUGUAGAAUGGCUUAUAUUAAUAACCAUCGUUCGCAGCGCGUCAUAUUCAAGUUAGCUAUCGUAUAUUACGCUUGGAAGUUUGGUUUAUUAUAUAGUGACUGUGGAAAAAUAAUAUAUAAGAAGAUAAUAGUGAGUACAAAAUAAAUGGUUCAAUUUAAUCCAUAUAAUGUCAUAAUGUUGCUUUACGUGACUUUUACUGCUUUGAAUUUACCUACAAGUCCAAUAACGUCAGAAGAACGAGAAACGGCACGUAAAAUAGAGAAGCAGAACAAGUAGAGCACGAAGAUGAAGAAUUUAUACUAACUCCUAAAUUUGUAUGUACCAAAAAUGAACAUAUUCCGCAUAAAUACAGAAUACAAGCAGUGGAAUAUUGGAAAAGUGGAAAAAUUGGACCAAGGACAUUGAAAGACGUUAAACGAAGAUUUCGGAAAGUAUCUUCAUUACGUCAAUUGCGACGAUGGGAAAUUCAAGUAAUGAAGGUGGCAGUAGAUACCACAACUUAAAACAAAUUUCAGAAUAUAUAUUAAAUAAUUUUAAUAUAGCUCUUGAAAAAGGAAUAAUUAUUCACGACAUUGAUUUAGCUCGAUGGGCUGUUCAAGCACAGGAAGAUUUAAAUGUACCGGGAUUCAAAGCGUCGAUGCGUUGGAUACAAAAAUUCAAAGUAAUACAUAAUAUUGUAUCUCGUAAAAUAACAAAAUUUGUAACAAAAAAAUCUAUACUAGCAAACGUCGAGCUUGAAGAAAAGUGUAAUUCAUUUAUUGAAAAAUAUCAAAUAACUCAAUAUGGAGCAGAAAAUAUUUACAACAGUGAUCAAAGCGGAUCCCAGUUAGAAUUGCAUGCCGGUCGUACAUUAGCAUAUAAAGGAACAAAAAGAAUUGAGUCUGUAGUACAAUCUAAAACGGCAAUUACGCAUAGCUAUACUAUACAACCUACUGUUUCAGCCGAUGGUAUGUUAUUAUCGCCUCUUUUAUUGUAUUGAAAGAAGUUAGUGGAACAUUUGGUCUUAGAGUGCAAGAAACAAUGUUCAUGGCACCUAAUAUUUUUGUUAAAGCUUCGAAAUCCGGGAAAUAACGUCAGAUCAUUGUAAAAUUUGGUUGCAAAACGUAUUUUUUCCAAACGUAGGACCAAAGUCCGUUUUACUAUUAGAUUCAUGGAUUGGUCAUUGUCCAAAUAUUAUACAAGAAACUAAGUUAGAAUCUACAGAAACUAAAAUUCUAUUAACUAUACCGGCUGGAAUAACAGGAAACAUACAACUAUUAGAUGUAUAUGGUUUUCGUUUGUGGAAAAAUUUCAUUAAACACUUUUCAGAUAUUGUAAUGCUUUUGGAUCUGGAAAUAAAUCUUCACGCAAGAAACAAUAUUUUAAAAUUACAAUCAUUAACUCAUGGUCAGUUUUCAUUGCCUAGAGUUAGAAAUUUAUUUCGAUACGCAUGGUAUAAAAGCAGGUGGAAAAUAAACUGGAAAAAUUUGAAACACCAGUAGAAUAUUGUUUCAAAAAUCAGUUAAAAUCGACAUGUGAUAUUUGUGGCUCAACUGCAAUAAUUACUUGCGCAUGGUGCAAAAAAUCGCUUUGCAUAAAUCUCAUUUCUUUCAUGAGCAUCACUUUUGUGAUACUUAUGUAUAUCCAUAAAUUCACUUAAUAUUUUUAAUAUAU